AUUGAACGCUGGCGGCAUGCCUUACACAUGCAAGUCGAACGGCAGCACGGGUGCUUGCACCUGGUGGCGAGUGGCGAACGGGUGAGUAAUACAUCGGAACGUACCUUAUCGUGGGGGAUAACGCAGCGAAAGCUGUGCUAAUACCGCAUACGCCCUGAGGGGGAAAGCGGGGGAUCGAAAGACCUCGCGCGAUUAGAGCGGCCGAUGCCUGAUUAGCUUGUUGGUGGGGUAAAAGCCCACCAAGGCGACGAUCAGUAGAUGGUCUGAGAGGACGAUCAGCCACACUGGGACUGAGGCACGGCCCAGACUCCUACGGGAGGCAGCAGUGGGGAAUUUUGGACAAUGGGGGCAACCCUGAUCCAGCAAUGCCGCGUGAGUGAAGAAGGCCUUCGGGUUGUAAAGCUCUUUUGUCAGGGAAGAAACACCGGCUCUAACACAGUCCGGGAAUGACGGUACCUGAAGAAUAAGCACCGGCUAACUACGUGCCAGCCGCCGCGGUAA
rnacentral:rRNA from 1 species